GUGAUAUCUGGUUCUCGCAACACAGUGAAGAGUUGUGGGUUUCGGCUAGUAUACGCUGAAGAUGUUAGAGACAACAAUGCAACAAUGAUCCAACACAUCUCUCCUCCUCAACAUUCAAGUGUUAUCCUUGAAGAACUUGACCACUCAAUUCCUGAAGAUGGCAAAGCCGGGAGUAGCCUUGACCCUAGGGAACCCAGUGGAAGUGGCUGCUCCUACACAAGCUUAGAAUUAGAGAAUGAAGAUGAGUACCACACUGCUGACGAUCUCAGUAGCAGUGACUACUCGAAUGAGGACUUGGAAUCAAAGAGUAUUGAUUACUGCUACACUCAUGAAGAGGACCAAGCUCUAGCAGAAGGUACUGCACGCAUGCAGGAACAGUGGAUGAGGGCAAAUGCAGUGGCAAUGACACACACACCUGCAACAGCGCACAGGAAGAAGAGAGCAAAAAUCUUGAAAUGAGAUCCACUUUUGCUUUUGGAUUGAUUUUCUUCUGGGAUGAAGGGAAGAAACCCAUGAUAGAAAAAUGGAUAACAAAGGAGGAAGAGCAAAGGAUGAUUUGAAUCUCCAUAAAUCUUUUCUCCCACUCUUUGAAUUUCAAAAUAUACAAAUUCUCCCUUUCAUAGUGAAGAACUCUCCUAUUUGCUCAUUUCCUGGACCGCAUCUUUUAUUCAAAUGGGAACAGGGCAUUGUGAAAGGAAUCUCUCAACUUCUUAAAUCCAAUGAUUAUCCAAUCCAGAUCCCAUCCUAAGAAUUCAGGUGUAUUCUUUGUUAAUGGGGUACCCCUGUUCAAUAAGUCGGAGUGAAGAUGAAAUUCUCAUUGAUUGCAGCUAACCAAACAGAGGGACAAAAUCAUUGAAGAAUGAAACUGGUUCCUGCCAACCUGGUGCUCUCUCGAACAAGGGUUUACAAGGGUUUUCAAG